rnacentral:rRNA from 1 species
UACGUAGGGGGCUAGCGUUGUCCGGAAUCAUUGGGCGUAAAGCGCGUGUAGGCGGUCCGGUAAGUCCGCUGUGAAAGUCGGGGGCUCAACCCUCGAAUGCCGGUGGAUACUGUCGGGCUAGAGUGCGGAAGAGGCGAGUGGAAUUCCUGGUGUAGCGGUGAAAUGCGCAGAUAUCAAGCAGAACACCUGCGGCGAAGGCGGCCUUCUGGACGAUGACUGACGCUGAGACGCGAAAGCGUGGGGAGCAAACAGG